CCUACGGGAGGCUGCAGUGAGGAAUAUUGGUCAAUGGGCGCGAGCCUGAACCAGCCAAGUAGCGUGAAGGAUGACUGCCCUACGGGUUGUAAACUUCUUUUAUAAAGGAAUACAGUGAGGCACGUGUGCCUUUUUGAAUGUACUUUAUGAGUAAGGAUCGGCUAACUCCGUGCCAGCAGACGCGGUACUACGGAGGAUCCGAGCGUUAUCCGGAUUUAUUGGAUUUAAAGGGAGCGUAGAUGGGUUGUUAAGUCAGUUGUGAAAGUUUGCGGCUCAACCGUAAAAUUGCAAUUGAUACUGGCAGUCUUGAGUACAGUUGAGGUAGGUGGAAUUCGUGGUGUAGCGGUGAAAUGCUUAGAUAUCACGAAGAACUCCGAUUGCGAAGGCAGCUUACUAAACUGCCACUGACAUUGAUGCUCGAAAGUGUGGGUAUCAAACAGGAUUAGAUACCCCUGUAGUC
rnacentral:rRNA from 1 species